UGGCUCUGGCAUCGAUGAAGAACGCAGCGAAAUGCGAUAAGUAAUGUGAAUUGCAGAAUUCAGUGAAUCAUCGAAUCUUUGAACGCACAUUGCGCCCGCCAGUAUUCUGGCGGGCAUGCCUGUCCGAGCGUCAUUUCAACCCUCAAGACCCCUCGAAAGGGUGGACUUGGCGUUGGGGACCGGCCUCACCGCCGCCCCCGAAAUGCAGUGGCGACCUCGCCGCAGCCUCCCCUGCGUAGUAGCACAACCUCGCACCGGAGCGCGGAGACGGUCACGCCGUAAAACGCCCAACUUUCUUAGAGUUGACCUCGGAUCAGGUAGGAAUACCCGCUGA
rnacentral:misc_RNA from 1 species